AACGAACGCUGGCGGCAUGCCUAACACAUGCAAGUCGAACGAGACCUUCGGGUCUAGUGGCGCACGGGUGCGUAACGCGUGGGAAUCUGCCCUUUGCUUCGGAAUAACAGUUAGAAAUGACUGCUAAUACCGGAUGAUGUCUUCGGACCAAAGAUUUAUCGGCAAAGGAUGAGCCCGCGUAGGAUUAGGUAGUUGGUGGGGUAAAGGCCUACCAAGCCGACGAUCCUUAGCUGGUCUGAGAGGAUGAUCAGCCACACUGGGACUGAGACACGGCCCAGACUCCUACGUGAGGCAGCAGUGGGGAAUAUUGGACAAUGGGCGCAAGCCUGAUCCAGCAAUGCCGCGUGAGUGAUGAAGGCCUUCGGGUCGUAAAGCUCUUUUACCAGGGAUGAUAAUGACAGUACCUGGAGGAAUAAGCUCCGGCUAACUCCGUGCCAGCAGCCGCGGUAAU
rnacentral:rRNA from 1 species